AUGCAGUUUCCAGUACCAAGCCAUGCAAGCCCGCGCACCCGGGAGGCGGCGGACGGCUCAGGACAACGGUAGCACCCCCCGCGGCGGUCCCUGCUAGCCGGACACCGCUGGCAACCCGGCGCCAAGACGUGCGCGCAAGGGCGGGCGCCCGCGGGCGAGCAGCGUGACGCAGCGACGGCCCGCCCGGGCUUCCGGGGCAUCACCCGGUCGGCGCGGACGCGGCGCGCCGAGGGCCCGACGCCUGGCGGAGUAUAGGGUUCGACUA
rnacentral:rRNA from 1 species